GAAAUGCGAUACGUAAUGCGAAUUGCAAGACCUCGUGAAUCAUCAAAAUUUUGAACGCACAUUGCGCUUUCGGGUUUUACCCGGUAGCAUGCUUGUCUGAGUGUCUGUGAACCCCACUCAGCGCCGGUGUAGUGCCGGUUGCUGGACUUUGCCAGUGAGUUCUGAACUCUCUGGCGUAAUUUACCCACUUUGGGUGAUUAGGAUGCUGCGGGAUUUGCCCUGGUUAAAGAGCUUAGUCACGCGACUGCUCGUCCUAUCUCUGGUAGUUCAUCUGUUGGAGUUCUGGGCGCUAUGAGUAGUUCACGGCUUGCACUGAAACUAGGUUAUCACGUGGUUCCGUGCAGCUGGCCGGUUGUCAACCGGUCAACUGUUAAUUCACUUCGGAUCUCAGAUCAAGCAAGAGGACCCGCUGAAUUUAAGCAUAUAAUUAAGCGGAGGAAAAGAAACUAACCAGGAUUCCCCU
rnacentral:rRNA from 1 species